GCUGAAAUAAUUUAAUUGGUUAAAAUUCGCCUUUCAUGCAGGCGGCAUAAAGGUUCAAUUCCUUUUUUCGGCU
rfam:Serendipita vermifera MAFF 305830 unplaced genomic scaffold scaffold_217, whole genome shotgun sequence.